AAUUUGUUUAUAGAUGGAGCACAAAAUAACAUAACCUUUUACAAAAAUGAAGUGUAUAUAAAAAGUUUGCAAAAACGACAUAAAUGUUUACAAAAUAUGGUGUCAUCUCUCAAACAAAUAAUGGUAUUUUCCAUGAAUUAAAUAACCGUGAAAUUAGCUAACAUAAGUGAUCUUUAAAAUGCAAACAAAAUUAGAUAAAAAAAAAAAAAAGAAAGAAGAUCGUUUAAAGUGUCUCAAUCGAAGAGCACGAAUUCGAAUUCUUGGAAUACCAAGUUUCUUGAGAAAAUUACAUUAAAGCAAAUUAAAAAGUUAUAAAAUUGGCUAGCAUAUAAUUAUUUUCAUAAAAAAAUAAGAUACGACUAAGUUAGGUAAAAUGUUUGGUUUCUAAGGAAAAAAAAGCAAAUGGUUUUGAAUCCUUUGCUAGUUCUUGUAUACUAAUAGAAGUAACAAAGUAACAAGUAAAUUUGAAAGAAAAAAAUAUGGGUGUUUGGAUAGUUUUGAAAAUAGCUUAUUAAUUUUUUAUUUUUUUAGUUUUUUAAAAAGCUAAUAAGCUACACAGGCGUUUGUAUAUUUAUAAAUGUUUUUAAAACAUCUUUUUGGAUAGAAAAAGUAAAGUUUUCAAAAAGCUAGAAAAUCCUAAAUUUUUAGCUUUGUAGUCAUUUUACUCCUAAAAAUCAAUUUUUCUUAUCCAAACAUUUUUUAAAAUCCGUUUUUCCUAAAAGCCAUAAGUUAAUAAACAAUUUUCUUAAAAAUCAUUUUUGUGAUAAAAAAGCUAACCCAAACACACCCAUAAUCUUUUGAAGAAGUAAAAACUUGAAAACCGAUAUAUCUUAACCAAUUUUGUUAAAGGAAAUCUUUAAAAAAGUCAUUACAUUUUGAAUUUAUAUUCAAAUUAGUCAUAGUAUAUUUUUGUAGCAAUCGAGCCAAAGUUACUUGUUAAUUUUAAUCAAUUACGGCAAAUUAGUAGCUUACAUGGUAACACACUUAUAUGACAUCAUACGUGGCAAGACAAGAUGUACAACCAACUAUGCGUUUAGGGUUUUCAUAUAUGUUGCAGUAUUUGGGGAUGGAUUUAAGUGAAUAAGAUAUCAAAAAUCUUCAUACCCCCAAUUCGUUAGCGCAAAUCGAUAUCGUCUUUUUCUUCAAACAUUCUAAUGUAAGUGCGAUUGUGGAGAUCUAUGUGGAAUGUGGACAUCAUGGAUUUGAAAGAAUCCAGAUCGAAGAUUCUUUGGUUGCCCAAAUUUCAUGUAUGAAUAAAGGGAGCGAAAGUAUUUUGUUGGAUUCCUGGCUUUGAAAAACAAAUGGUAUAGAGACAAGAUGUUUAAAUUGGGAGCUUUUGCUAAUGCUAGUGUAGUUGUUAAUGCUCGUAUACCUGUUAAUGUGCAUGUGGAUGCCCUUAAUGCUUAUUUGCAAACGGAUGCCCUUAAUGUGCAUGUGGAUGCCCUUAAUGCUCAUUUACCUGUCAAUGUGUCCGAUUCCCCUAAAUUUAAUGAAGUUAGAUUGCCUAUGAAUGUCACUAUACCUGUUAAUAAAGUUGGAUUAUGGAAGUGGAUGAUGUUUUGUUUGGUGUGUGUCAUUAUUGGGAUGAUGUAUCGUUAGUUUGGCAUAAGUUGUAGGGUAAUAUGGUAAUUCAUCAUGUUAUCUUUUGGUUAAGUCUUGUGGUGUAAUGAAAUUUUUUUGGUUAAUGAAAUGAGGAAAUUAUUGUGA